rnacentral:lncRNA from 1 species
CUGAUGCCGAGCCGAAGCUGGACUGUACUGCUGCCAUCUCGGCUCACUGCAACCUCCCUGCCUGAUUCUCCUGCCUCAGCCUGCCGAGUGCCUGCGAUUGCAGGCGCGUGCCGCCACGCCUGACUGGUUUUCACAUUUGUUUGGUGGAGACGAAGUUUCGCUGUGUUGGCCGGGCCGGUCUCCAGCUCCUAACCGCGAGUGAUCCGCCAGCCUCGGCCUCCCGAGGUGCCGGGAUUGCAGACGGAGUCUGGUUCACUCAGUGCUCAAUGGUGCCCAGGCUGGAGUGCAGUGGCGUGAUCUCGACUCGCUACAACCUCCACCUCCCAGCCGCCUGCCUUGGCCUCCCAAAGUGCCGAGAUUGCAGCCUCUGCCUGGCCGCCACCCCGUCUGGGAAGUGAGGAGCGUCUCUGCCUGGCCGCCCAUCGUCUGGGAUGUGAGGAGCCCCUCUGCCUGGCUGCCCAGUCUGGAAAGUGAGGAGCGUCUCUGCCCGCCCGCCAUCCCAUCUAGGAAGUGAGGAGCGCCUCUUUCCGGCCGCCAUCCCAUCUAGGAAGUGAGGAGCGUCUCUGCCCGGCCGCCCCGUCUGAGAAGUGAGGAGACCCUCCGCCCGGCAGCCGCCCCGUCUGGGAAGUGAGGAGCGUCCCCGCCUGGCAGCCACCCUGUCCGGGAGGG